GAUCAAAUUAUGAAGCUGCAGGCCCAAUUAUUGGAACAAUACAAAAUAUUAGAUAACAGCAAAGCUAAGGAUGCUCAAAUUUUGAGUCUACAAGCUCAGCUAGGGGAAAAGAACAAAUUGGAACGGAACAGUUUCCAAACAGUGAAGGAGGUUUUUCCAAACUCAUCCCUAACUGAACAUGAGGAUGAAUUGGCAUUAACCAAAUAAUGCUGCACAAAAAGAAUGGUUAGUUAUAAGCCCAUGCAGUGAAGGAAGUGAACAAUUGUGGGACCGUAUUUGGGCC